rnacentral:rRNA from 1 species
UACAGAGGGAGCAAGCGUUAUCCGGAAUGAUUGGGCGUAAAGCGUCUGUAGGUGGUUUUUUAAGUCUAGUGUUGAAUACCCCUGGCUCAACCUGCGGAAUGGCAUUGAGAAUACUAAUACACUAGAAGAUGGGUAGAGGUGAAGGGAAUCCCUAGGGUAACAGUGAAAUGUGUAGAUAUUAGGAGAGAACACCAGCGGCGAAGGCGCUUUACUGGGCCCCAACUGACACUGAGAGACGAAAGCUAGACCAGCGAAUAGGAUUAGAUACCCGAGUAGCUCUAGCUGAAAACGAUGGAAACUAAUAGGGGGUAUACCCCCUUCUGUAGGUAACGCGUUAAGUUUCCCGCCUGCCGAGUGUGCUCGCAAGACUGAAACUCAAAGGAAUUGACGGGAGUCCACACAAUAGGUGGAUUAUGCAGUUUAAUUUGAUGCUCCGCAGAGAACCUUACAAGGGAUUGACAUGUGUCGUAUUUUUCAAAACUGCGAAAGUGUCUCCCCUUUCUUAAAGGAAGAAACGAGAACACAGGGGGUGCAUGGCUGUCGUCAGCUCGUGCGUUGACGUGUAUGGUUAAGUCCUGCAACGAGCGCAACCUUGGUCUUAAGGUAUUGUUCAAGCUCUCUAAAGAGACUGCGCGCGCCAACGCGAAGAAGGUGAGGAAGGCGUCAAGUCAGCCAGGGCCUUAUACUCCAGGCGACCCCCGUAAUACAAUGGGUGAGACAAUAAGAAAGUCAACCGCAAGGGCAAAGCAGUCUGCUGAAAUCAAGUCUAAUUUGGAAUGUCGGUUGCAACUUGGAUACAAGAAACUGGAAUUUAUUGUAAUCCCCAGUCAACCAUAUGGCGGUGAAUACGUUCCUGGACUU